GUGUCAGCAGCCGCGGUAAUACGUAGGUGGCAAGCGUUGUCCGGAUUUAUUGGGUUUAAAGGGUGCGUAGGCGGUGAUUUAAGUCAGUGGUGAAAUACGGCAGCUUAACUGUCGAGGUGCCAUUGAUACUGGGUCACUUGAGUACUGAUGAGGUAGGCGGAAUGGACGGUGUAGCGGUGAAAUGCUUAGAGAUCGUCCAGAACACCGAUAGCGAAGGCAGCUUACUAAGGAGUAACUGACGCUGAGGCACGAAAGUGUGGGGAUCAAACAGGAUUAGAUACCCGUGUAGUCC
rnacentral:rRNA from 1 species